rnacentral:tRNA from 1 species
GCGUUAGUGAUUCAGUGGUAGAAUUCUUAUCUUCCAUGUAGGAGACUUGGGUUCGAUUUUCAGCCAAUGUA